CUUUGACAGCUUUAAAGGAAUUUGCACAAAGGAAGGAGACAGCUGCUGUUCUGAUGAAGAAGGAUUUUUCUGAGCAGGCCUCCCAAGCUAGACGUGCCCCUAUGAGAUGCUGCCUCCACUUUUCAUCAUGAGCAACAGGUGACUAAUCUGCAGUCAAAAACACUUAGUGGGACUGGAUCAGUCGCUGUUAUGAAGUUUGCGCUUAUAGCAUUUUUUCAUGCUGUAAUGUGAGGGCUGAGAAUGUGUUGGACACAGAGCAAUUGAGGACUUCCAGACACAGUGAAAUCCUUGCAAGAGGCAUCAGAGAGUGGAUUGCCAGAGUUUUAGAAACCCGACAGCUGUUAGCCUGCUGCAGCAUGAGGAAGAGUCUUCGGUCUCUCCAAUGCACAGGAAAGAGAAGACGAAUUGUAGUAAAUGUCCACCUUCGAUACUGAGAAAAAGGCCACCCGUGAACCAAGCUGUGAGUGAAAAGCGAAAAGCAGAGAGAAGGGUUCGAUUUUGUGAGCCAGAGAUCACUGGAUAUGCACAUGAUAGGCCAUCAGCUGGAUUGCCCUUGCUCCUGUGGAUUUUGCUUUGUUUAGUGCUGAUCCUGGCUGUGAGUCUGUACUACAGCAGCAUGAAGCAGAAUGUCAAAGUCGUGGAAGAAUUUCAAUCCCAGCUCGUUAUCUUCUUUCUUCAGAUAAGACGCGUUGCUUGGAAAUGCUGGACUUGGUUUAUGAGGCAAUAACGGUGUCACAUAUGUGGAAUUGUGCAUGGCCCAAGACAAAGAUCUUAGCAGAUAACAUCUAAAUGUAUAUUGCAGCACGAGGCUCACAGCCCACUCAACCCAAACACCAGAGAAUGCACCAGCCUUCCCUUUGAAGACUAAUAGAGCUGACCCUGUUGUGUACUUACCUUUUCCUGUAGCCACGUCUUCUAUUUCUUUUAUUAUUAUUGUAUGUAUUACACUAACACCUAGAGGUUGCAACCAAAAUCAGAUCUCCAUUGUCCUAGGCAAUACAUAAAUAUCUGGUAAGAGAUAGUCCCUGCCUCAGAGAGUUUAUAAACUGAAGAAACAAGAAAAAGCAAAGGAACAGAAACACAGAUUAAUUGAUUCAAUCAAGGUCACAUAGGUAGAUAAUAACAGGAACUAAACUCAGGUCACUCAAGUCUCAGGUCACAAGACCAUCAUUCCGCUCUGGUUUUGCUACUGCAAUGUGUGCAAGCAUUAUUUCUUGUGCUCGAAGGCUCUGCAAUGCUGUAUUUUACACCUAUGUGAAAUGAUUGUGAGUAAAACCUUCGCAGAUGAUGUUCUCAUUUCCCCUCAAGCUUUCUCCUAUGUAGGCAAAAGAUAGCUCUUGGAAAUGUUUCACCAGGCUCCCAGGCAUGGAAGAGAGCAUGCAAACUCAUUUAAACAGGCUAUGGUUAUUUGCUUAAUAUCACACAUAACAGAAUUGAAUCCCAGGUUAAUUAUCAAGUUAGUAGUUUAAUCCUAUGAGUUUGAUUCAGUCCGUAAAGCUCAUGAGCCAAGUUUACAUGGUUUGUGACAUCAACAAACUUCUUCAAUUUACUUAUAGCUUGUAUUCAGUCAGGGGGCCACGUAUUCAUUCCAUGCAUGCUCAACUAUAGUUUAAGACUUUGCAUAAUGCUACAAUUGCGUGUUUAUGAAGGUGGCAAGGAUAAAGCUCCAUUGUUUUGGGAGGCCCCCCACUAAUAUCCUACAGUAAAGAUAUUUCUGAAGGGGAUCAUUUUAACAAUGAUAGUGCAAUAAAUGCUGAAUGCCU